GAUGAACGCUGGCGGCGUGCUUAACACAUGCAAGUCGAACGGAAAGGCUCCUGCUUGCAGGGGUACUCGAGUGGCGAACGGGUGAGUAACACGUGGGUGAUCUGCCCUGCACUUCGGGAUAAGCCUGGGAAACUGGGUCUAAUACCGGAUAGGACGAUGGUUUGGAUGCCAUUGUGGAAAGUUUUUUCGGUGUGGGAUGAGCUCGCGGCCUAUCAGCUUGUUGGUGGGGUAAUGGCCUACCAAGGCGUCGACGGGUAGCCAGCCUGAGAGGGUGUACGGCCACAUUGGGACUGAGAUACGGCCCAGACUCCUACGGGAGGCAGCAGUGGGGAAUAUUGCACAAUGGGCGCAAGCCUGAUGCAGCGACGCCGCGUGGGGGAUGACGGCCUUCGGGUUGUAAACUCCUUUCGCUAGGGACGAAGCGCAAGUGACGGUACCUGGAGAAGAAGCACCGGCUAACUACGUG
rnacentral:rRNA from 1 species